rnacentral:rRNA from 1 species
GGUUAAGCGACUAAGCGUACACGGUGGAUGCCCUGGCAGUCAGAGGCGAUGAAGGACGUGCUAAUCUGCGAUAAGCGUCGGUAAGGUGAUAUGAACCGUUAUAACCGGCGAUUUCCGAAUGGGGAAACCCAGUGUGUUUCGACACACUAUCAUUAACUGAAUCCAUAGGUUAAUGAGGCGAACCGGGGGAACUGAAACAUCUAAGUACCCCGAGGAAAAGAAAUCAACCGAGAUUCCCCCAGUAGCGGCGAGCGAACGGGGAGCAGCCCAGAGCCUGAAUCAGUGUGUGUGUUAGUGGAAGCGUCUGGAAAGGCGCGCGAUACAGGGUGACAGCCCCGUACACAAAAAUGCACAUGCUGUGAGCUCGAUGAGUAGGGCGGGACACGUGGUAUCCUGUCUGAAUAUGGGGGGACCAUCCUCCAAGGCUAAAUACUCCUGACUGACCGAUAGUGAACCAGUACCGUGAGGGAAAGGCGAAAAGAACCCCGGCGAGGGGAGUGAAAAAGAACCUGAAACCGUGUACGUACAAGCAGUGGGAGCACGCUUAGGCGUGUGACUGCGUACCUUUUGUAUAAUGGGUCAGCGACUUAUAUUCUGUAGCAAGGUUAACCGAAUAGGGGAGCCGAAGGGAAACCGAGUCUUAACUGGGCGUUAAGUUGCAGGGUAUAGACCCGAAACCCGGUGAUCUAGCCAUGGGCAGGUUGAAGGUUGGGUAACACUAACUGGAGGACCGAACCGACUAAUGUUGAAAAAUUAGCGGAUGACUUGUGGCUGGGGGUGAAAGGCCAAUCAAACCGGGAGAUAGCUGGUUCUCCCCGAAAGCUAUUUAGGUAGCGCCUCGUGAAUUCAUCUCCGGGGGUAGAGCACUGUUUCGGCAAGGGGGUCAUCCCGACUUACCAACCCGAUGCAAACUGCGAAUACCGGAGAAUGUUAUCACGGGAGACACACGGCGGGUGCUAACGUCCGUCGUGAAGAGGGAAACAACCCAGACCGCCAGCUAAGGUCCCAAAGUCAUGGUUAAGUGGGAAACGAUGUGGGAAGGCCCAGACAGCCAGGAUGUUGGCUUAGAAGCAGCCAUCAUUUAAAGAAAGCGUAAUAGCUCACUGGUCGAGUCGGCCUGCGCGGAAGAUGUAACGGGGCUAAACCAUGCACCGAAGCUGCGGCAGCGACGCUUAUGCGUUGUUGGGUAGGGGAGCGUUCUGUAAGCCUGUGAAGGUGUGCUGUGAGGCAUGCUGGAGGUAUCAGAAGUGCGAAUGCUGACAUAAGUAACGAUAAAGCGGGUGAAAAGCCCGCUCGCCGGAAGACCAAGGGUUCCUGUCCAACGUUAAUCGGGGCAGGGUGAGUCGACCCCUAAGGCGAGGCCGAAAGGCGUAGUCGAUGGGAAACAGGUUAAUAUUCCUGUACUUGGUGUUAC